UGAGGAAUAUUGGUCAAUGGGCGGAAGCCUGAACCAGCCAUGCCGCGUGAAGGACUAAGGCCCUAUGGGUCGUAAACUUCUUUAGACGCAGAGCAAUAAGGGUCUCGUGAGAUCCGAUGAGAGUAUGCGUAGAAUAAGCAUCGGCUAACUCCGUGCCAGCAGCCGCGGUAAUACGGGGGAUGCGAGCGUUAUCCGGAUUUAUUGGGUUUAAAGGGAGCGCAGGCCGCCGGGCAAGCGUGUUGUGAAAUGCAGUCGCUCAACGUCUGCACUGCAGCGCGAACUGCCCAGCUUGAGUGCGCGCAACGUUGGCGGAAUUCGCCGUGUAGCGGUGAAAUGCUUAGAUAUGGCGAAGAACUCCGAUUGCGAAGGCAGCUGGACGGGGUGCGUAACUGACGCUCAUGCUC
rnacentral:rRNA from 1 species